GACGAACGCUGGCGGCGUGCUUAACACAUGCAAGUCGAACGGAAAGGCCCUGCUUUUGUGGGGUGCUCGAGUGGCGAACGGGUGAGUAACACGUGAGUAACCUGCCCUUGACUUUGGGAUAACUUCAGGAAACUGGGGCUAAUACCGGAUAGGAGCUCCUGCUGCAUGGUGGGGGUUGGAAAGUUUCGGCGGUUGGGGAUGGACUCGCGGCUUAUCAGCUUGUUGGUGGGGUAGUGGCUUACCAAGGCUUUGACGGGUAGCCGGCCUGAGAGGGUGACCGGCCACAUUGGGACUGAGAGACGGCCCAGACUCCGACGGGCGGCAGCAGUGGGGAAUGUUGCACAAUGGGCGGAAGCCUGAUGCAGCAACGCCGCGUGCGGGAUGACGGCCUUCGGGUUGUAAACCGCUUUCGCCUGUGACGAAGCGUGAGUGACGGUAAUGGGUAAAGAAGCACCGGCUAACUACGUG
rnacentral:rRNA from 1 species